rnacentral:rRNA from 1 species
UCCGGUGCUUGCGCCGGGGAUUAGUGGCGAACGGGUGAGUAACACGUGAGUAACCUGCCCUUAACUCUGGGAUAAGCCUGGGAAACUGGGUCUAAUACCGGAUAUGACUCCUCAUCGCAUGGUGGGGGGUGGAAAGCUUUUUGUGGUUUUGGAUGGACUCGCGGCCUAUCAGCUUGUUGGUGAGGUAAUGGCUCACCAAGGCGACGACGGGUAGCCGGCCUGAGAGGGUGACCGGCCACACUGGGACUGAGACACGGCCCAGACUCCUACGGGAGGCAGCAGUGGGGAAUAUUGCACAAUGGGCGCAAGCCUGAUGCAGCGACGCCGCGUGAGGGAUGACGGCCUUCGGGUUGUAAACCUCUUUCAGUAGGGAAGAAGCGAAAGUGACGGUACCUGCAGAAGAAGCGCCGGCUAACUACGUGCCAGCAGCCGCGGUAAUACGUAGGGCGCAAGCGUUAUCCGGAAUUAUUGGGCGUAAAGAGCUCGUAGGCGGUUUGUCGCGUCUGCCGUGAAAGUCCGGGGCUCAACUCCGGAUCUGCGGUGGGUACGGGCAGACUAGAGUGAUGUAGGGGAGACUGGAAUUCCUGGUGUAGCGGUGAAAUGCGCAGAUAUCAGGAGGAACACCGAUGGCGAAGGCAGGUCUCUGGGCAUUAACUGACGCUGAGGAGCGAAAGCAUGGGGAGCGAACAGGAUUAGAUACCCUGGUAGUCCAUGCCGUAAACGUUGGGCACUAGGUGUGGGGGACAUUCCACGUUUUCCGCGCCGUAGCUAACGCAUUAAGUGCCCCGC